rnacentral:sRNA from 1 species
UUUCAGCCCUUUGCCACUUCCUCUGCCCAAAUCACCUCUGUCACCCCCUUGAAGUUCCCAAAUGCUGGGCCCAGCACAUCUUUUCACUCCAUACCACUGGUCAGCUGCGGCGCUGGCUGCCCCUGUGCCAGGGCCCCGCCUUAACCCAGUUCUCUGUGACCUGGGUGGUGGCGGAGGGGGGAGUCACAUAAUACUAAGCAUGGCUGUCCUAGGACUCACCCUGCACCAGGGCCCUAGGCAGGGCAGGCACUCUGUGGCCAUGUCUGACAUAACCUGGUCUUGGGAGUGCUCUGGGCAAGCCAAGGGAGAUGGCGUGAUUUGGGCCAGAGAUGGGGACAGAGGGCAUAACAGACAGGGGCAGGGCACCACCUGGGCCCCGGGUGGCAGCUAAGAGGACCCUGACACGGCGAGUCGUGAUUGAGGGUCUGUGGGCAGAGGAGCAAGGUGGCCAGAGCCUGGCGUGUCAGCAUGGAGGGGGCGCUGCAGAGGGUGGUGGCUGCUUCUCAUCCCCAGGUGGGAGUCUUAGGGCAGGGGAGAAUGUUUUGAAGGAACAUCACAGGAAAUGACAAGGCCCUGGGAGAUGAGAUGGGGAUGGUCAAAGACGGCUUGGAAUCAUCAAGGGCAGCAGAGUACCCAGGGGCAAGGAGAGCAGACAUAGCUGCCGAAGGGGCGGACGUCCAGGGUUCUUUGGAAGCUGAGCGAUGCCAGCAUCUGGCGAAUGCUGGGCUGCUGGGUGGUGCCAGAGCCUGGAGGAAAUGUUAUGACUAGAGAGAGGAGGUGCCAGCCGAGGGCAUGAGGCUCACUUGGAGCCUGGAUCCCAAGGCUCCCCUAAAGAGGGAGCCGGAAGGGAGCUGAGAGGAUGACUUGGAGCAGAUGGGUGCCCCAAGAAACUCAGUCAACGCAGAACUCCCUGGGCUGGACACCAUGCUGCGGGGAGGCAAUAACCCACUCAGGAUCACUGUGCCAACCUCCUGGACUCUUAUCACGUUGCUCAGGCCCAAAGAUGGCCCACACAGGGACCACCCCCUGGGCGGCGUUCCCUCCAUGGAGUUGGGCCCCACAGCCACUGGACAGCCCUGGCCCCUGGGUGAGUGAGGCACCAGGGGAAGGUGGAGAGGGAAGGGAGAAGGGAAGGGCUCGUGCCUCCUGCCUCCUUCCAGAUAGGCAGCACCCAGUCACCUUGAGUCCCCUGUGCCCCACCCCAGCCCCAGGGUCUCCUGCUGACCAUAUUCACAACAUUUACCCUCCACCAUUGCUCCCAGACCCUGAGAACUCUCCUGAGCCCAGCAGCUACCCUGAGAAGCCUCUGCCCACAGUCUCGCCUGACCCCCAAGCAGAUCAAGUCCAGAUGCCAAGUUCCUGCCUCUGGUGAGAGGUAGCUCCUAAAAUGAACAGAUUUAAAGACAGGUGGCCACUGACAGCCACCCCAGGAACUUGAACUCCGGGGGCAGAGCCAGUGAAUCACCGGACCUCCAGCACCUUCAGGCAGCUUGGAAGUUUCUUCCCCGAGUGGAGCUUUGACCCACCCACUCCAGGAACCCAGAGCCACGUUAGAAGCUCCUGAGGGCUGGGGGACACUGCUGGGCACACUCUCCAGCUCAAUAAACCAUCAGUCCCAGAAGCAAAGGUCACACAGCCCCUGACCUCCCUCAGCAGUGGAGGCUGGGUAGUGCUGGCCACCCCAAAAGGGCUCUGUCCUGGGAGCCUGGUGUGUCUCCUACAUGCAAUUUCCACAGACCCAGCUUUGUGGAGGGCAUGACUGCUGGCCAGAAGCUAGAGGUCCUGGGGCCCUAUGGUUCAACUGAGUCCACACUCCCUUGGAGCCUGGCCUCUGCAAACAAACAUAAUUUUGGGGACCUUCCUUCCUGUUUCUUCCCACCCUGUCUUCUCCCCUAGGUGGUUCCUGAGCCCCCACCCCCAAUCCCAGUGCUGCACCUGAGGUUCUGGAGCUCAGAAUCUGAUAGCCUCUCCCCCAUUCUGUGUGUGGGAGGGGACAGAGGGAACCAUUUAAGAAAAGAUACCAAAGCAGAAGUCAAAAGAAAGACAUGUUGGCUACAGGCGUGGUGGCUCAUGCCUAUAAUCCCAGCACCGUGGGAAGCCGGGUUGGGAGGAUCACUAGAGGCCAGGAGGUCCACACCAGCCUGGGCAACAUAGCAAGACCCCAUAUCUACAAAAAAAAUUUAAAAUUAGCUGGGCAUGGUGGUGUGUACCUGUAGGCCUAGCUGCUCAGGAGCCUGAAGCAAGAGGAUCGCUUGAGCCUGAGUUCAACACUGCAGUGAGCUAUGGUGGCACCACUGCACUCCAGCCUGGGUGACAGAGCAAGACCCUGUCUCUAAAAUAAAUUUUAAAAAGACAUAUUA